rnacentral:rRNA from 1 species
UACGGGGGGGGCUAGCGUUGUUCGGAAUUACUGGGCGUAAAGGGCGCGUAGGCGGUCUGCUAAGUUGGAUGUGAAAACUCUGGGCUUAACCCAGAGCCUGCAUUCAAUACUGACAGGCUAGAGUUCUGGAGGGGAUAGCGGAAUUCCUGGUGUAGCGGUGAAAUGCGUAGAUAUCGUAAGGAAGACCAGUGGCGAAGGCGGGUCUCUGGACAGUUCCUGACGCUGAGGCACGAAGGCCAGGGGAGCAAACGGG